GUAUCUACAGCAGAACCCCAGGGUGGCACAAGCCCCUUGGCGGGUCUGACAGUGGUCUAGGACCCUUGGCGCCAUCCCGAAACACCCCGCACCUGCACCCAGUGCUCGGGAUGGCGGGGACGACCUUCCGGGCCACGGGGCAUUGAGGCCAGGCAGGAGGGAUGGAGACACCAACCACAAACCAGAAGCAAGCACCCCCCGGGCAAGGGGAGAGUGGAAUGCAGAUGAAUGAAAAUUUCCUCGUGGCCUAGUCGUCAUCUAGGAUCAGCACCAUCAUCAAAGAAAGUGGACAAGCAGAUGGAAGAGGACAUUGCUAAGUUAAGCUUUCAGCAAAGGCCCUUUCUACCUUUCUCUCUCUUUCCCUGCCUCUCACCUGGAAUGCAGAUGUGAUGGUUGAAGCAUCAGCCGCCACAGUAAGACUAUGAAGCAAACUUAGGAUGGCAGUCAAUGAGGUAGAGCAGAGGGUUAGAAGGAGCCCUGGUCCCUGAGGAGGUUGAAGCUUCCGUGACUGCACAGGCUGCUCUCCUCCAGCCCCUUUGAGAAGAGGGAAAGUUCUGUUCUACUGUAUUCAAGCUGCUGUCAUUCCCAGUGUCUGUUAUUAGCAACCAAGCUCAAUUCUUAGAGGAUACAGCUUUGCCGACCCCUCUUUCUAUUCUUGCUUAGAGGCCACCUACAUUUCCCUGGGUGUAUUCCAAAAAUGAAUCUAUGCCUUCAGCAAAGACUAUGUCCACAGCGAGGAGCUGGGCCAGGAGCUAAAAGCUAGGCCUCACUAGUCUCUCCUCCUCAGAUCGUCUCACUCAGGACUUUUCCUGAAUAUCAAUCCACAAACCUCUUCUCAGCAGUUCCCAGGCUCCAUCCCAACAGGCCAGGGCUGCCCAAUUCAACUCACAUUCAGAACAGCAGGAGACUGGGCUACAGUGUAGCUACAGCGGCCUCCACCUGGACCCAGGAGAUGGGAGUAUCUGAGGGCACUUUCUGGAUGGCUCGCAGAAGCAACAAUGCACCGAAAUAUCCUCUGGCUGUGACUCUGGUGGUGCAGGACAGGGAGCUCUGUCUAGUCUUCCUCAGCCCUAGGACAUCUAGCGUCAAGUGGGCAGUGGCCCAUCCUCGAAGAGGCUGUCCCCAGACAAGGGACAGGCCCACGUUGUGCACAGAUCACCUCCAGCUCCCUGCUCUGCUCCAGGACGCACCAGCCACAGAGCAGGACUUGCAUCGACAGCUCCAGUUCCAGCCGCAUGGUCCUGUUGUCCAACCCAUGCCCACAAGGCCUUGCUCUCACUCACACACUCCAGUCCAGUCCCUAUGGAGCAGCCCUGGCAUGUGGGACCCCUCGGUGCCCUGAACCUCUGGGCCAUCAGGGGCAUGCAGGAUGAGCUGCCUCCCUCAGGAGACGCACUGCAAAGGGGAGUGCUGGAGGCCCACCCAGAAUCUGCCUCCAGCAGCCGUCCCCACACCCAGCAAACUCUCCUGAGAGUGGCCAGUGAGCACCUGCAGUGCUGGGUGAGCUCACAUGAUGGGUAGGGUCCCCUGGGACGCCAGGGCAGGUGUCAGCGGGGGUGGGAGGCCACUCCCAAUAUUCCCAGCAGGAAGGGAGUCCUGGAAUUCCCAGGGCGGAGCAGGGCCCAGCUGAGGCCACACUGGCAUCAGGGACCCCACACGCCACCCCAAGUCUCCUCACCCUCUGGGCUGAGCAGGGGGCUGAGCUCCAAGGGUCUGGGUGUCAGGUGGGGUACUACCCACUCAGCUGUGGAGGUCACUCCCCUGACACCCCGACCCGACCAGGGACCAGAAGUGGCCAAAGUUUCAGGAAGGGCUGACUCGCUGGGACGCUGUUCCCUUCUGAAGCUGUGUGACCAAACACCACAAGCCACGUGUUCCCCGCUCUGCACGGCUGCUUGGGCCCCGGACAGCUCAGGGUGUCGGCAAUCCAGACCCGUGCUGCUGUGGCUGGCUUCUGAGAUACUGGCCCCUUGGGGGUCUCGGAGUUCCCAGCUGAGCCACUGCUGACCCCCAUCCCGGUCUGGACACAAGCACAGAGAAGAGCCAUGUCCCCCCGGCAGCGUGCCUGUUAAGGCACCGUGUUGGCCACGGUGUCCCCAUCUCAGGCAGGUGACACGAGCCUCCCACUUCUGUGUAAGGGAAGCCCUGACGUGGACAGAAGACCCCUCCCGCGACUGCGAGGGGCUGCUGGCUGCCCCACCGCACCCAGCCCUCCUGGCCACAGAGCCCCGCAGAGCCCGGCGGCGGCGGACCGGGUGCCAGGCCUGCGUGCGGUGGGCGGUGCGCAGCCCGCAGCUGCUGGAAUCUCUGAG
rnacentral:lncRNA from 12 species